AUUGAACGCUGGCGGCAGGCCUAACACAUGCAAGUCGAACGGUAACACGACACUGCUUGGUGCUUCGGUGGCGAGCGGGGGAGGGGCGAGUGAUGUACGGGCCACUGCCUGUUGGAGGGGGACAACAAAUGGGAACGGUUACUAAAACCGCGCAACGGCGCAAGGGCGGAGAGGGGGACGUUUGGGCCGCUUGCGAUGGGCUGUGGCCAGAUGGGAUUGGCUAGUGGGGGGGGGAACGGCGCACCUUGGCGAGGAUGCCUAGCUGGUCUGAGAGGAUGACCGGCCACACUGGAACUGAGCCACGGUCCAGACUCCUACGGGAGGCAGCAGUGGGGAAUAUUGGACAAUGGUCGCAAGCCUGAUGCAGCCAUGCCGCGUGUGUGAAGAAGGCCUUCGGGUUGUAAAGUCCUUUCUGCGGGGAUGAAGGGAGUAAGGUUAAUACCUAGCCUCAUUGACGGUACCCGCAGAAGAAGCACCGGCUAACUCCGUG
rnacentral:rRNA from 1 species